GGAUGAUUUAUAUUAGGCAAUUAUAUCUGAGGUAUCCAUUAUAGAUAUGAAAUAAGCUAUGAUGUGAUUUGCAUGAUGGACAAAAUCUUUUCUUUUCUCCAUUUGAAGACAAGUUUCUGUGGUGUUAUUUGUCCAAACUUUUUUUUGUCUUGUAUAGAUAUCUAGUGCGGUGAUACUGAUCCUCUUUGCAUAUCACUAUCUGCCACUUGUUUCAGCUAUGAUCACAGUGCUGGACAUGUUGCUUUCGUGGUUAUUUGACUUAUUUCGGUAUUGCUUUUCCAUUUCUUAAUAUCUGGGGGCAAUUGUGGAGCAUUUUGUAGGUAAUGACCUCCGCAAUAUAUAUAAAGAGAUAAACUUAUGAUUGCAUAAAUUGUUAUUCUUGGUUUUUUAGUUAUGGUUAAUACUGGACAAGUCUACACUUAAGAAUGGUAAGUUCUGAUAAUGGAUGAUGCCGUAGCUUAUUGCUUAUCUGGAUUGGUAUUAGUUGCCUUUCAGAACUGGGAUUUCCUUAGUAACCUAUUUUUCCAUCCCUUACCCUGUGAAGGUUGUAUGCUUUUGAUGUAAACGGCAACUCUUUCUUCCCCAUGUUUGCGCUGCUUUAUGGUUAGUACAAAGUCAAAAUGCAUUCCUUAUUGAAUAAGCUUUUUCAUAAUACACACUGAACUUCUAUUCACAUUGUUUUUCUUAGAGACAGCUGUACAUUAUUUUCCGUCGCCUCUUCUGGUAAGCUCAUGGUUUUGUUCCUGUUUUGCUGUCAAAUUUGCAUUUCCUACUAUCAUUACCUCAAUUUUCUAGGCUAUGAUGGUAAUACGAGUUUUACUGGAAAUAGUGUCUUUUUUUCUUAUUCAAAGCCAUUCUAAGGAAUUUUACAUAGAAAAUUGAGAAACAUAUGAAAGUGGCUUGUGUUUAAAAGAAAACUCUUAUUGUCAAAAUUUACUGAUUUUCUCGUCCGCUAUGCAGUAUUGCCACUAUUGGAGAGAACAACAUUUUUUCUGUAUCCAAUUUGUUUUGUCAUUGUCAUAUCUCCUAUCUGUAAGUAUUUACUAUACCUGUUUGUUAUGCAACAUUUAUUGCCAUAUAGAUGAAUAUUUAUAUCUUACAGUGAUUUUGAGCAGCUGCAACCCAUCAAGAUACCUUAUGAACAUGUACUUCAGUCGAUUGCUAUAGAUGCUGCUAACAGGCACUUUAGAUGACGUAUAUGAUGAUCGAAGGAAAUUCCUCAAAAUACUCUAAAGAACACAAGACAGUUAAUGUAUUCAUUUACGCGUGAGGAAGACGACCGGCGUGACCCAGGAAAGAUUCAGUCAGUCCAGUGGGGCCUUUCUUUAUUUGACCGAAAAUGAGUUAGUUUUGCCGUACUGAGAAAUUAGAUUAGUGAAAUCGUUACAUAUGGGUUUUGCGUCUUAUUUCCGUCAUCUGCUUGAGACAAUUAUUUGUGACACCUUAUGAUGGGAAGUAGUGAAUUCCCUUGCAAUGCUGCUGUUUUAAGCAAUGUUGAUAAUAUAGGAUACUUGUCAAACAACAGAAAUUUCUCUUUUGUUCCCCAAAAUUUUUUCUUUUGUGAAUUUUCAUUUUUAC
rnacentral:lncRNA from 1 species